rnacentral:rRNA from 1 species
GACGAACGCUGGCGGCGUGCUUAACACAUGCAGGUCGAACGGAAAGGCCCUGCUUGCAGGGUACUCGAGUGGCGAACGGGUGAGUAACACGUGGGUGAUCUGCCCUGCACUUCGGGAUAAGCCUGGGAAACUGGGUCUAAUACCGGAUAGGAGCCAUUUUUAGUGUGAUGGUUGGAAAGUUUUUUCGGUGUAGGAUGAGCUCGCGGCCUAUCAGCUUGUUGGUGGGGUAAUGGCCUACCAAGGCGGCGACGGGUAGCCGGCCUGAGAGGGUGGACGGCCACAUUGGGACUGAGAUACGGCCCAGACUCCUACGGGAGGCAGCAGUGGGGAAUAUUGUACAAUGGGCGCAAGCCUGAUGCAGCGACGCCGCGUGGGGGAUGACGGCCUUCGGGUUGUAAACUCCUUUCGCUAGGGACGAAGCUUUUUGUGACGGUACCUAGAUAAGAAGCACCGGCUAACUACGUG